rnacentral:lncRNA from 1 species
GAGCUUCUCUUCUCCAAACUGUUGGUCUUUCACAAUGAAAAGAGUUUGGCCUCAACAAGUGAACAAGGACCAAGGGUAACUAAACAGCUCAGGCAGACACAAAAGCCUGGUUGUUGCAACCGAAUUGACUUAGCAUUUACUGCGUUUUAAAACUCAAAUCCAUUUGGUAAGGGGGCCUAAUCAUCUAAGAAAAACAGUCAUGUGAAGAAACAGGAUGCUGCAUCUGAUUGAUUUAUAAAAGCAUCAGGUUACUGAAGUUUUAGCCAGCUCAUAGGAAAAAUACUUUCCCAUUUACUCCCCAUUUCCUUCACGUCAGGAUAAACUCAUUCCCACACUACAAAAUAUGCCUUCAAAAUCCCAUACCCUGCAUGAGACCAAAUUCUUUGGCUUUUGGAGGGCUUUCUCCACAGCCUGAAAUUGAUUCCUGACAGCAGUUCCUUUGUGGCUUUGCUCAAACAAACUCGGAAUCUUUUGGCUCAUGGCACCAGCAGUAAUUGAAAGAAGAUACCACCACUGUUUUGUACAUUCAUGGAGCUGCUCAGGAGAAAUGUGCUUUCUUUCCUGAUCAAGGCUUUACUGCACUGCAAUUGUCUUUGGUCCCAUGUAAGCAUGUUUAUCGUUCCUAACAUCCCUUUUGCUGUUGUUGUUUAGUUGUUUUACUUUUUUAUUUUUCAAGGAUAAUUUCAAUAAUAUUGCCAUGUACACAAUGGCAUGUUACAUAUAAAUAUGUCAACAUAAUGUCUAUAACUUAUUAUAUCUGGGUAUUUAUAGCAGAAACAUAGACAGUCAUAAAUACAUACUCAGGAAAUUCCGGGCUAUUUCUGAUUUUCAAACACAUGUAAUAUGUGGUCUCAUUGAGAGUUUUCUCUGUUGUUUCUGGAGAACAUUAUUUACACAGCCAGAAAACAAAAACUUUUUUAAAAGUACAACUAAUUUUAAUAUGAAGAGGAAUCUGCUUUUGCUUUGUAAAGGUGUAUUUUCUGUAGAAAUAUUGAACUGACAAGGGUGUGAAGGAAAAGUAUUUUCCAAGAGAAGGCAAAUGUGGAACUAGAUAGAAAAGAAUGAAUUAGAAAAUUAUGUAGAUUUUGGAAG